rnacentral:lncRNA from 9 species
GUAACCUCUGUUAUUUUGGCUGCUUUAUUGACUAAUUCACAUCUCUCCCACCUGGAUGUCCUUCACCUGUACUUUGGCCCAUGCGACUCCUUCAAGAUCCAACUCCAAGGCCACCUCUCCUCUCUAGACUCUGAAUUGCUCUAGCUGGGCUCUUCUAGUCUAUUAAAGAACUCAGUCUAGACAGAUUGUAGGCACUUAAUUGCCGACAUACUGCCUGAUACCAUAGUUAUUUUUAUAUGUGUCCUGUGUCUCAUCUAAAUGAUUACUGAUUGAGGGUGAAUUGUAUUUAUUUUUAUUUCUCUGUAGUGGCUUCUAUGCAUCCUGGCUCAAUAAAUAUUUAUGGAACAAAUUUAGAAUUUAGGGCCAUUAUUUGACUCUUAAAACUAUUCCUCUUGGCAGUACGUUCCAACUUUAUAAGAAAUAAUAACCAAUAUCAAUUAUAAAGUGCUUAGACUGCUCCCAGCAUUUAACUAGGCACUUAAUUCAUAUUAUCUCACUAACCUUUUAUACAACUCUCUAUAUUAAGGAUUAUUUCUACUCUUUUUUCACAUGAAAAAUGUGAAGCUCAGAGGGGUUGAUUAACUUGCCUGGGAUUGCUCAGUUAGUAUUUGACAGAAACGGAACUCAGUGACACAUCUUUCUGACUCCAUAGCUUGUGCUCUCCUGUGAAGCAAUUGUGUUCUUCAAGAAUGACUGUCGGUGGACAGGCACGAAUGCUAGAGUUAAGAGAGUUCAGUAGUCUUGCCGAAGGCUAUAUAACAAAUAACCACUGCUCAAGUUUCUCUAGUAGGAGCAGUGUACAUUCUGCAGCAUGUAGGCAUUGGAUCGGAGCGACAGGUCCCAGGAUGCUCUACGUUGGACACGCUGCGACAUCUGCCAGGUCUGUGGUCCUGCAACACCGUGCAAGAGCAGUUCUGGCUACAGAGACCUGAUGGAGAUGAUGUGGAGAAGCGGGAGCUCCAGGACCAUUGCAGCAUGGCUGGUGAAUGUCUGGCUGGGAGCUCUUUGACACGGGACAGAAAAUCCAACUCAACCGAUCUGGAGCUGAAGAUGAGAUGGAUCCUACUCAAGACACAGGGAUAAGAGGGAUCUAUUUUCAAAGGAAACAAGACAGUCUUAGCAAAAGAAGAGAAAUGGAGGUACAAAGCAAUAUGCCAGGAAUUUAACAUCUCUC